rnacentral:rRNA from 1 species
CAGUAGCCGCGGUAAUACGAACCGUGCGAACGUUAUUCGGAAUCACUGGGCUUAAAGCGCGUGUAGGCGGAUGGGAGCGUCGGCCUCUGAAAUCCCCCGGCUCAACCGGGGAAGUGGAGCCGAAACGACCCGUCUGGAGGGACGUAGGGGGACCUGGAACUUCCGGUGGAGCGGUGAAAUGCGUUGAGAUCGGAAGGAACGCCCGUGGCGAAAGCGAGGUCCUGGACGUCUGCUGACGCUGAGACGCGAAAGCCAGGGGAGCGAACGGGAUUAGAUACCCCUGUAGUCCCUGUCUCUUAUU